CGAACUGCGGUGGAGACAAGACACUAUCUACUUUCUUCGAAUUCUCAUCACGCAGUAUUCACUAAUCAAAGGUAAAGAUGCACAAGAAAGUGUUGUUCUUCCCGGGGAAAGUCUGUGUUGUGUUCCGCAAGGGACCACUCGGAUUUCUCCUCUAGGAGCCGUCAAAGGAAGCCAGAAGAAUUAAGGAGGACUCCACUCUGCAGGACAAGUCUGCCCCCAUACGGGCUGACCUUGUUCAGCAGAAUGCUCUGGCUGUGGUCCGUCGGAGAGGAGGGGAUGCCUCAGACUGUACGGAGGUGCUGGGAGACUACAUCCUGCAGUUUGGGAAGUAUAAAGGGAAGUCUUUCAGGUGGCUUUUGGAGAAUGAUAUAGGGUACACAAUGUAUCUUAUUAAGAACUUGCAAAAGGAGGAAGCAUCAGGUGACAGUGUGACUGCAGGGCAUAGCAAGGACAGCCUACAGUCCUUUGUCAAUUAUUCCCUCAGUUUUGCUGAGAUCCAGUCUCUCCGAACCUAUGAGGCAAGUGGAGGGGUUGUUAUGGCAGCCUCAUUGGAAGAUGACCAGCUGGUUGGCUUUGGCACUCGUGCUAAGAGCACCUGGAAGGAGAUUUGGGACAGCAGAGCUGAUGGCUAUAUAGCUGAUAAUAUAAUUUUUUUAAAUGAAAAUCUGCUUUUAAGAUUUAUACUUUCAGUCCUACAAGUUUUUAAUGAUUGGUGUGGGCUUUGUUUUGUGUUACAGAUCUGCUUUAGUCUGGGGUGCCUCUGUCUGCUUCAGCUGCCUCUCUAAGUUCAUUUUAAAUGUUCACCUUUGAUCUGUACUUUGUCUUGUUUGAGGCAACUGCAGAAAAAACUCUCACACAUGUAGCAUGUGGCAAAGUAAGGAGUGUAGCUAUCUUUUCUAACCGCUGUUGUACAGCUAGAGCUGAGGGCAAGAUAUGACUUACCAUAUUUUCUUGUCUUUGUUUUCAAAGUUGUGACUUAAUGGAUUAAUUGUCACCCUGGCAUUUACCUGGAAGUCCUACAACACAAUUUGCCAUGCUUUGCUGGCAAUGCAAAACGAUGUGGAUUGCUUUUAUUUAAGCUCGAUGCCUUCAACUGUCAUAACCAUGGGCCCCACUUUGGGAAUCACUGGUUUAAGAGGAUGUUAAAUUAACCUUGUAUUUAUAACUUUCACUGAAUGUUCUGAUGCUGCUUUUUAUCUUGUACCACCCUACUUCCACCCACCAUCCAUUAUAACUUGCUUGUAAAUUAAACUAUUUUCAUGAAAAAAA